rnacentral:rRNA from 1 species
GGUGUGUACUGGUCUUGAUGGAAGCUUACCUCUUGGUGGGUCGGCAUGCCCCUUCGUUGGGUGUGUCGAUUAACCAGGACUUUUACUUUGAGAAAAUUAGAGUGUUCAAAGCAGGCUUUCGCCCGAAUACAUUAGCAUGGAAUAAUAGAAUAGGACGCGCGUCUUUAUUUUGUUGGUUUCUAAAUUCGCCCGUAAUGAUUAAUAGGGAUAGUCGGGGGCAUUCGUAUUGCUUGGUCAGAGGUGAAAUUCUUGGAUUCUAGCAAGACGAACUACUGCGAAAGCAUUUGCCAAGGAUGUUUUCAUUGAUCAAGAACGAAGGUUAGGGGAUCGAAAACGAUCAGAUACCGUUGUAGUCUUAACAGUAAACUAUGCCGACUAGGGAUCGGACAAGCACAAUCUAUGACUUGUUCGGCACCUGAAGAGAAAUCUUUAAGUCUAGGUUCGGGGGGGAGAGUAUGGUCGCAAGGCUGAAACUUAAAGGAAUUGACGGAAGGGCACCACCAGGUGUGGAGCCUGCGGCUUAAUUUGACUCAACACGGGGAAACUCACCAGGUCCAGACACAAUAAGGAUUGACAGAUUGAUAGCUCUUUCUUGAUCUUGUGGUUGGUGGUGCAUGGCCGUUCUUAGUUGGUGGAGUGAUUUGUCUGGUUAAUUCCGAUAACGAACGAGACCUUAACCUGCUAAAUAGACCCGGGGCCUUAGGGAACCGGCUGUCUUCUUAGAGGGACCGUAGG